CAUUUUAGUUUCCUGCUGUGAGAAAGCUCCAAAUGCUUUGGAGGCUGAAGAAGCUGCCCUGACAAAGACAGGAAAGCGCGGGCGGGGCUGAUGGGUCUUUUUCAUCUCCCCCCUUUGCUGAUGAAGAGGCAGUGCUGUAAAAUGACGAAAUCAAGAAAGCACAGGACUCUGGCUCAGAACUGUUGGCAGGCACAACUGAGAAGCUAGAAUCUAAUAUCAUUGUUUUGCUUUAUUUAUGACAAGCAAUAUUGGUUUUCCAUUUAUGGUAGAGAUAUUAAGUUUCCCUUUGAAAUAAAUGUAUUUUUGAAGUUA
ensembl:lncRNA novel transcript